rnacentral:rRNA from 1 species
UACGUAGGGGGCAAGCGUUGUCCGGAUUUAUUGGGCGUAAAGAGCGUGUAGGCGGUUUGGUAGGUCCGCUGUGAAAACUCGAGGCUCAACCUCGAGACGCCGGUGGAAACCAUCAGACUAGAGUCCGGAAGAGGAGAGUGGAAUUCCUGGUGUAGUGGUGGAAUGCGUAGAGAUCCGGAAGAACACCGGUGGCGAAGGCGGUCUGCUGGGCCGUAACUGACGCUGAGGAGCGAAAGCGUGGGGAGCGAACAGG